rnacentral:sRNA from 1 species
CUGAUGCAGACACCAUGAAGGCCAUGAGGCGCCCCCGAUGUGGUGUUCCAGACAAGUUUGGGGCUGAGAUCAAGGCCAAUGUUCGAAGGAAGCGCUACGCCAUCCAGGGUCUCAAAUGGCAACAUAAUGAAAUCACUUUCUGGUGAGUCCAACAGGCAAGCAACCUUUCUCACAUCUGGUUAUUAUUCCCUACCCAUUGUGCUUAUGCAGGGACUCAGAGACCUCCUGCCCCACUCCCCUCAGUUCCUGGGAAGCAUCCCUGGGAGUGGGGAGGAAAGUGGCUCUCAUCCUCGAGAGAGGUGUAGCCAUCAAGGGUGCACCCCAGUGCCAGAGAGCCAAAGGCUGAGGAUCCCUUGUUCUUGAGACAGAGGCGUCGUGCAUGAGGUAGCAGGAAGAGUUGGGUCAGGCAGAGGUGGCUGGGCAGCACAGUCAGACCUGGGAGAGUGCAGGAAAGGAGAAUGUUGCCCCUCUUUAUCCUAACACACCCCAUCCUCUCCCCACGUGGCUGGACCUCAGCAUCCAGAAUUACACCCCCAAGGUGGGCGAGUAUGCCACAUACGAGGCCAUUCGCAAGG